rnacentral:rRNA from 1 species
CCUACGGGAGGCAGCAGUGAGGAAUUUUCCGCAAUGGGCGAAAGCCUGACGGAGCAAUACCGCGUGAGGGAAGACGGCCUAUGGGUUGUAAACCUCUUUUUUCAGGGAGGAAUAAUUGACGUGUACCUGAAGAAUAAGCAUCGGCUAACUCCGUGCCAGCAGCCGCGGUAAU